rnacentral:rRNA from 1 species
UACGAAGGGGGCUAGCGUUGCUCGGAAUCACUGGGCGUAAAGGGUGCGUAGGCGGGUCUUUAAGUCAGGGGUGAAAUCCUGGAGCUCAACUCCAGAACUGCCUUUGAUACUGAAGAUCUUGAGUUCGGGAGAGGUGAGUGGAACUGCGAGUGUAGAGGUGAAAUUCGUAGAUAUUCGCAAGAACACCAGUGGCGAAGGCGGCUCACUGGCCCGAUACUGACGCUGAGGCACGAAAGCGUGGGGGAGCAAACAG